GAUGAACGCUGGCGGCGUGCCUAAUACAUGCAGGUCGAGCGAACAGACGAGGAGCUUGCUCCUUUGACGUUAGCGGCGGACGGGUGAGUAACACGUAGGUAACCUACCUAUAAGACUGGGAUAACUUCGGGAAACCGGAGCUAAUACCGGAUAAUAUUUCGAACCGCAUGGUUCGAUAGUGAAAGAUGGCUUUGCUAUCACUUAUAGAUGGACCUGCGCCGUAUUAGCUAGUUGGUAAGGUAACGGCUUACCAAGGCAACGAUACGUAGCCGACCUGAGAGGGUGAUCGGCCACACUGGAACUGAGACACGGUCCAGACUCCUACGGGAGGCAGCAGUAGGGAAUCUUCCGCAAUGGGCGAAAGCCUGACGGAGCAACGCCGCGUGAGUGAUGAAGGUCUUCGGAUCGUAAAACUCUGUUAUUAGGGAAGAACAAACGUGUAAGUAACUGUGCACGUCUUGACGGUACCUAAUCAGAAAGCCACGGCUAACUACGUG
rnacentral:rRNA from 1 species